AGGACGAACGCUGGCGGCGUGCUUAACACAUGCAAGUCGAGCGGAAAGGCCCUUCGGGGUACUCGAGCGGCGAACGGGUGAGUAACACGUGAGCAACCUGCCCUUAGCUUCGGGAUAGCUCCGGGAAACCGGAAUUAAAUACCGAAUAUGACUUUGGCUGACAUCAGCAGAAGUGGAAAGUUUUUCGGCUAGGGAUGGACUCGCGGCCUAUCAGCUAGUUGGUGAGGUAACGGCCCACCGAAGGCGACGACGGGUA
rnacentral:rRNA from 1 species